rnacentral:lncRNA from 1 species
UGCUGCUGCAGCAGCUGCUAACCCUAACCCUAGAAAGGGGCCAACAGGGGGCCAGAUCUGGAUUAGACCGCUUCAGAUCUUGGUUCAAUUACGGGAGGAAAGAUCACAAACCUAUCAGAUUCAACAAUUCGAUUCGAAUCGAGAAGAAGUAAUUAGAAAGAUAAUGGAUCUGGCGAUUACCUCGAAGGAGGUGGAGAUCCGAUCGGAGAAGACGACUCUAAGCACGGAUCAGGAGCGCCGGAGACAGGAUUUGGCAAACUAAAGAGAGUUUGCCAAUGGGGAUAGAGUCGAAGAUUAAGAAAUAUCGAGGGAGUGGAUUUUUUUCACCUCCAAGAACCGGAGAGGGGAAGAGAAUCCC